rnacentral:lncRNA from 1 species
AAAAAAUUGUUUUCGGUUUGUCGCUAAAAAAAUAGAUUGUUCUUCGCCGAAGGCGAAAAAAAAAGUUUGCACAGAAAAAUCAAAUGGUUGCUGCCUAAAGAAAACCGGAGGAGACGAAAAGGGACAGAAAACAGAGAGAAAAAACAACAAACGACCAUUAAAGAGGGGCGAAAUAUACCAUAGGGACAGAAACUCAAUGAUCGAAAAUAAACUGACAACGCGAUGGCUAACAAAGAAAAAGACAAACAGACAAGACACAACAUUGCAUUGAAAACUAAAGCUAAGCAACACGAACCCCAUAAAAAAUGGAGGUGAUCCGGA